GAUGAACGCUGGCGGCGUGCCUAAUACAUGCCAGUCGAGCGAACAGACGAGGAGCUUGCUCCUCUGACGUUAGCGGCGGACGGGUGAGUAACACGUGGAUAACCUACCUAUAAGACUGGGAUAACUUCGGGAAACCGGAGCUAAUACCGGAUAACAUGUUGAACCGCAUGGUUCAACAGUGAAAGACGGUUUUGCUGUCACUUAUAGAUGGAUCCGCGUCGCAUUAGCUAGUUGGUAAGGUAACGGUUACCAAGGCAACGAUGCGUAGCCGACCUGAGAGGGUGAUCGGCCACACUGGAACUGAGACACGGUCCAGACUCCUACGGGAGGCAGCAGUAGGGAAUCUUCCGCAAUGGGCGAAAGCCUGACGGAGCAACGCCGCGUGAGUGAAGAAGGUCUUCGGAUCGUAAAACUCUGUUAUUAGGGAAGAACAAAUGUGUAAGUAACUAUGCACGUCUUGACGGUACCUAAUCAGAAAGCCACGGCUAACUACGUG
rnacentral:rRNA from 1 species